rnacentral:rRNA from 1 species
UACGUAGGGGGCAAGCGUUGUCCGGAAUUAUUGGGCGUAAAGAGCGUGUAGGCGGUCCGGUAAGUCGGCUGUGAAAGUCCAGGGCUCAACCCUGGGAUGCCGGUCGAUACUGCCGGACUAGAGUUCGGAAGAGGCGAGUGGAAUUCCCGGUGUAGCGGUGAAAUGCGCAGAUAUCAGGAGGAACACCAAUUGCGAAGGCAGCUCGCUGGGACGUUACUGACGCUGAGACGCGAAAAGCGUGGGGGAGCAAAACAGGG